CUCAGCCUCCUGAGUAGCUGGGACUACAGGUGCAUGCUGCCACCAUGCCCAGCUCAUUUUUGUAUUUUUAGUAGAGAUGGGGUUUCACCAUUUUGGCCAGGAUGGUCUUGAUCUCCUGACCUUGUGAUCCACAUGCCUCGGCCUCCCAAAGUGCUGGGAUUACAGGUGUGAGCCACCGCGCCCGGACGUAAAGAAAGUUUUAUUGAGACACAGCCAUGCCCAUGAAUGCUUUCAUGCUUCAACAGCAGAAUUAAGUAGUUGCCACAAAGACCUGGCCUGCACAGCCUAAAAUAUGUCUUGGCCAAGAAGUCUGAAUCAACCAUGGUCUCCUCCAAAGACGAGGGCAUUUGCUGGGAGCACUGUGGAAGCACAGCCUUCUUUCUACGGGGGUUGCUGAGAAAAGCUGCUGGCUGUCGGUGGGGGAAACCUGUCUGAGUAAAUCCCACACAGAAGAAAGCUGAGCCGAGAGAUGGAGAGACACGACGCCUGCAGACAUUGCUUAGAUCCAGCUGGGCGCAAAGCCAGGCCAGCUCAGACUUUUCAAUUACACGAACGAACCGCCUUUUUGUUUUACACUUAUGUCAAUUUGAAUUGGAUUUCCAUCUUGUAACCAAAAGUCUGACUAAUAUAAUCAAAUACCAACUUAAGUAUUGGUAUCUACGAGUUAUAGGUGUUUUCAUUUCCUUGGCCAAGAAACUUUGAGCUCUGAAAUAUCACGGAACGGGGGGUUAGGCCAGGGCACUUAGGGCAAAGUUUUAGCUGGACUAUAGAGAAGGAUGAAGUGGCCUCUCUCACUUCUUUCUUCAUCUCUUUGGUUUAGCUUAGCCACACUGAGUCCACUCCUAAUAGUGGAGGAAGAGGCAAAGGAAGCCUCUUAUGCUAUUGAAUGGGGCCUGGUUGGAACUUGCCCCUGAAUCUGUAGAUGGACCAAAUGCCUACAACAGGGUUUUCAUAUCUAGUCCAUGAGGGCAAAGUGAAUUUCAUACGAGUGGCACAUGGGGCAGUUGUAGCUC
rnacentral:lncRNA from 10 species